rnacentral:rRNA from 1 species
GACGAACGCUGGCGGCAUGCCUAAUACAUGCAAGUCGAACGCUGAAGUCAUCUGCUUGCAGAUGACGGAUGAGUGGCGAACGGGUGAGUAACACGUGGGAAAUCUGCCUAGAAGUGGGGGAUAACAUUCGGAAACGGAUGCUAAUACCGCAUAUCUUUUUGAACCGCAUGGUUCGAAAAUGAAAGACGGCUUCGGCUGUCGCUUUUAGAUGAUCCCGCGGCGUAUUAGCUAGUUGGUGAGGUAAGGGCUCACCAAGGCAAUGAUACGUAGCCGACCUGAGAGGGUGAUCGGCCACACUGGGACUGAGACACGGCCCAGACUCCUACGGGAGGCAGCAGUAGGGAAUCUUCCACAAUGGGCGAAAGCCUGAUGGAGCAAUGCCGCGUGAAUGAAGAAGGUCUUCGGAUCGUAAAGUUCUGUUAUUAGAGAAGAACAAAUCAAGGAGUAACUGUCUUGAUUUUGACGGUA